rnacentral:lncRNA from 1 species
GUGCUAAAAGCCUGUUCUUUUUCUGACAUAUUCCUUCACAGUUCCAUUGUACAUUUCAGUGGCCCUUAUUCCUUCCUCGCCCCUGUGUUUAGCUCCUCCCAGUGUGUCUUCCUGUCUGGAGUGGGAGGGCAGUAAGGGUGGCUGUGCAUUUAGCUGAAGGGGGGAAACCAGCUGCCUCCAUCUCCUGGAGGAACACAUGGAACUCUACUUCAACCCCAGCCGGCACUAUAAAGACCAUACAGAACCAAGACGGCUCCUACUCUGUGAAGAGACGGUUGGUCCUGCCUGAUAGUGGCUCUGAAGACCACCUGAUCUGUGCUGUCAUACACCCCUCCAGGGCAGAGAAGCACAUCGAGACAAACCUGGCAUUUUGUGGGAAGAAGCAGUCUGGUAAUUUGAGGAUGGACAUCUCUCAUUUCCUGAAGAUUGCAGGCAUCUGCACAAUUCCCAUCCUCCUGACCAUGGCGUAUGUAGUGAGAGGAGGAUGCAAGGUGAAUUACAUCCAGACACACACCUUCGGUAUGUUGUGUCAUCUGCAGUACGUCUGUGGCUUUGUGACUGCCUCGUUUUGCUUGCAGAAAGCAUCUCAGGAAUCAGAAGUGGAACUGAGUGAGCUGAGAAUACAGGAAGCUGACGUAUAACAAAGAGGCAGUAUGUGUGAGCCUCUAUGAUGAUGUGAUGUCAUUUUCAUUCAAUUGUAACAACUAUUUGACUGUCUUUUAAAUAAUACAUUUUGAGGCAUAAAGUUCAAUGAGACAUUUAUUUCAACUGUAGCUGUUGAAUACAUCUCAGUUACUUAAAUAAAUAAAUACGUUACUCAAGAACAGAACAGUGCUUCACCAAUUUAUUUACCAAAAAAUGCCACU